UAUUUCCAAUUUGGUUUAGAUCCAAGCCACUUGUUACAAAGCAUGUACAAGGAGUAAGCAAACAGCAGAUAACAUCAAGUAAUGAAAGCCAAAACAUGCUCUAUACCAUAAAUAAACGUGGAGUAUUUAGCAAUUGACCAUCUCUAAGGUUAUGGAGUAUUUAGCAAUUGACCAUCUCUAAGGUUAUAGAAUCGUUUCUUUAUAAUCCUAAAGCAUAUAUUGCACAGCCAGACAAUAUCCGCAGGAUACAACUUAUUUUGGUCAAUCAAACUGCUGCCGGAGCUGCAUCUCUGUUUCACUUUUCCAAGUAGCAUGAGAUGAUUGUCCCUUC
rnacentral:lncRNA from 1 species